GAGUUUGAUCCUGGCUCAGGAUGAACGCUGGCGGCGUGCUUAACACAUGCAAGUCGAACGGGCUCAUAUUGAAACCUAGUGAUGUAUGAGUUAGUGGCGGACGGGUGAGUAACGCGUGGAGAACCUGCCGUAUACUGGGGGAUAACACUUAGAAAUAGGUGCUAAUACCGCAUAAGCGCACAGCUUCGCAUGAAGCAGUGUGAAAAACUCCGGUGGUAUACGAUGGAUCCGCGUCUGAUUAGCUGGUUGGCGGGGUAACAGCCCACCAAGGCGACGAUCAGUAGCCGGCCUGAGAGGGUGAACGGCCACAUUGGGACUGAGACACGGCCCAAACUCCUACGGGAGGCAGCAGUGGGGAAUAUUGCACAAUGGGGGAAACCCUGAUGCAGCGACGCCGCGUGAGUGAAGAAGUAUUUCGGUAUGUAAAGCUCUAUCAGCAGGGAAGAAAAUGACGGUACCUGACUAAGAAGCCCCGGCUAACUACGUGCCAGCAGCCGCGGUAAUACGUAGGGGGCAAGCGUUAUCCGGAUUUACUGGGUGUAAAGGGAGCGUAGACGGCAGCGCAAGUCUGAAGUGAAAUCCCAUGGCUUAACCAUGGAACUGCUUUGGAAACUGUGCAGCUGGAGUGCAGGAGAGGUAAGCGGAAUUCCUAGUGUAGCGGUGAAAUGC
rnacentral:rRNA from 1 species